AUUAAAAUCUCAUUUCAUUGAACCGGAGAAGGUCGAUAUGGACGAUAGAAAUCCCUCACCGUCUGGGACACUAGCUUGCGGCGGCACCGACGACGGCGAUUCGACGGGGGCCGGUGCAUCGCAUUCCGGCCACCAACUCGAUGGCUGCGAAGCCGUGGCAAAGGCGAUCGAAUCCACGCUGGGGGUGGUGAUGAGGGAGUUCGAUUCCCGAUCUAAGAGCGCUGAACGCAGUCAGGAUGAGCUGUCUCUCGCCAUCGAUCGUCUCACUGGAGAAUUAGAUAAAUUGUUAGAGGAUGCACCUGUGCCAUUGAUAAUGCGGCAUGCUGCGAAGAUCUCAUCCAUUCGCAAGAGAAUUUCAGCUAUGAAUUUGUUGUUGAAGUCGAUACAGAGGCGCAUGGACCGCAUCGAUUUCAUGUUGUCCAGUGGCUCAUUGAUGGAGAAAGCUCCUGGAGGUGAAGAUGUUGCUCCAAUGUCAUCAUCAACUACGUAGUUCUGGUGUCUAGGUGGACUCCACAUUUUUAACCCGAAAGAAGAGUAACUCAUGCUGAGGAUAGACGAAUUUUCUCAAGAUGAGGAGGCUAGAUGCUUUGAUUUGGAGGUUCAAACAUCAAAUUGUUUUCCUGUUCAUAUCUAGAGAAUUUUGUGUUGUCAUUGCAUAAGAUUCUCAUGUAUUAUGUAUAUAUUUUCCAUGAUCACCUUUAAUGGCCAAUGUAUUGAGUUCUUUGUUGUUACAAUAUAAGACAAAAAUUUGCUGUCAAAAUUCCAUCUCUGCUAUAUCUGAUUAUGAAUGAUAGCACAUGAUUGUCAUAAUAAGUGGCCUAAGAAAAAUUGAAGUAGAGGAAGCAAGGCCGAGUCAGGACAGCCAGGUUAUAUGGUGUUAAGAGUUUCUCGCAACUUCUGCGGCAAUGUUUGCAAUCUCUAACUGAUGCUGAAGGCUAUUCCAAGACAUAUCUGACAGAUAUUGAAGAUCAAUAAAGGAUGACUUCUAAAAUGUAGCAUUGGAUAUUUCUUUAGGUAAUACUUUUGACAGAAGGUAGCAUUGGACCUUAGGAAUGCAUAUGAUUUUUCUUUUUGACAACUAUACUAAUAUUAUACCUGACACCACUUGCAAAAGAAGCAUUUAGAUAUACAAAACAGAGAUUUUCGGUCUAUUAACAUUCCUGAAAUACCAAACUGCCAUACUCUUACCAGUGACCGUCCCUCUUCCAUGUUUACAAUAGAAAGCAAUUGCACUAAUAGCAUUCACAUAG